rnacentral:rRNA from 1 species
GACGAACCGUGCAAACGUUGUUCGGAAUCACUGGGCGUAAAGGGCGCGUAGGCGGCCCUCUUAGUCGCGUGUGAAAGCCCCGGGCUCAACCUGGGAACGGCGCGCGAAACGGGAGGGCUGGAGUUCGGGAGAGGAGAGUGGAAUUCCCAGUGUAGAGGUGAAAUUCGUAGAUAUUGGGAAGAACACCGGUGGCGAAGGCGGCUCUCUGGACCGAGACUGACGCUGAGGCGGCGGAAAAGCGUGGGGAGCAAACAGGGAU